CACGUAGGGGGCAAGCGUUGUCCGGAUUCAUUGGGCGUAAAGCGCGCGCAGGCGGUCUUUUAAGUCUGAUGUGAAAGCCCACGGCUCAACCGUGGAGGGUCAUUGGAAACUGGGAGACUUGAGUGCAGAAGAGAAGAGUGGAAUUCCACGUGUAGCGGUGAAAUGCGUAGAGAUGUGGAGGAACACCAGUGGCGAAGGCGACUCUUUGGUCUGUAACUGACGCUGAGGCGCGAAAGCGUGGGAGC
rnacentral:rRNA from 1 species